GACGUGACUUCAGAGUUUGAUCCUGGCUCAGGAUGAACGCUAGCUACAGGCUUAACACAUGCAAGUCGAGGGGCAGCGCAGUGUAGCAAUACAUGGGCGGCGACCGGCGCACGGGUGCGUAACGCGUAUCCAACCUUCCCGUUACUCAGGGAUAGCCUUCCGAAAGGGAGAUUAAUACCUGAUGGUGUUCAAAUUCCGCAUGUUAUUUGAACUAAAGAUUCAUCGGUAACGGAUGGGGAUGCGUGACAUUAGAUAGUAGGCGGGGUAACGGCCCACCUAGUCUACGAUGUCUAGGGGUUCUGAGAGGAAGGUCCCCCACACUGGAACUGAGACACGGUCCAG
rnacentral:rRNA from 1 species